CCCCAAGUCAGAGUUCAUCUCCCGGUUCAGCCUAUACCAAUUUCGAGUUAUGCCGUUCGGGAUGAAGAACGCUCCGGCCACCUUCCAAUGGAUGGUGGACCGCCUAUUAGAGGGUAUCCAGGACUAUGCGUGUGCCUACCUGGACGAUAUCGCUAUCUAUAGCGAUACCUGGUAGGUACACAUAGAGCACAUAGGGUCAGUGUUAGAUAGGAUUAAGG